rnacentral:rRNA from 1 species
GAUGAACGCUGGCGGCGUGCCUAAUACAUGCAAGUCGAGCGAACGGACGAGAAGCUUGCUUCUCUGAUGUUAGCGGCGGACGGGUGAGUAACACGUGGAUAACCUACCUAUAAGACUGGGAUAACUUCGGGAAACCGGAGCUAAUACCGGAUAAUAUUUUGAACCGCAUGGUUCAAAAGUGAAAGACGGUCUUGCUGUCACUUAUAGAUGGAUCCGCGCUGCAUUAGCUAGUUGGUAAGGUAACGGCUUACCAAGGCAACGAUGCAUAGCCGACCUGAGAGGGUGAUCGGCCACACUGGAACUGAGACACGGUCCAGACUCCUACGGGAGGCAGCAGUAGGGAAUCUUCCGCAAUGGGCGAAAGCCUGACGGAGCAACGCCGCGUGAGUGAUGAAGGUCUGCGGAUCGUAAAACUAUGUUAUUAGGGAAGAACAUAUGUGUAAGUAACUGUGCACAUCUGGACGGUACCUAAGCAGAAAGCCACGGCAAACUACGG